rnacentral:rRNA from 1 species
UGAAUUGACGGAGACCCGCACAAGCGGUGAUGAUGUGGUUUAAUUCGAUGCAACGCGAAAACCUUACCCACCUUUGACAUGGCAGGAAUCCUAAAGAGAUUUGGGAGUGCUCGAAAGAGAACCUGCACACAGGUGCUGCAUGGCUGUCGUCAGCUCGUGUCGUGAGAUGUUGGGUUAAGUCCCGCAACGAGCGCAACCCUUGCCAUUAGUUGCUACGAAAGGGCACUCUAAUGGGACUGCCGGUGACAAACCGGAGGAAGGUGGGGAUGACGUCAAGUCCUCAUGGCCCUUAUAGGUGGGGCUACACACGUCAUACAAUGGCCGGUACAGAGGGUAGCCAACCCGCGAGGGGGAGCCAAUCCCAUAAAGCCAUUCGUAGUCCGGAUCGCAGUCUGCAACUCGACUGCGUGAAGUCGGAAUCGCUAGUAAUCGUGGAUCAGAAUGUCACGGUGAAUACGUUCCCGGGUCUU